GAUCACAUCACGUUGAAACACCUGUUCCCGAACGAUAACCAAAGUUAAGCAACGUCGAGCCUGGUUAGUACUUAGAUGGGUGGCCGUUUGGGAAUACCAGCUUCUGUA